rnacentral:rRNA from 1 species
GGGCCCGCACAAGCGGAGGAACAUGUGGUUUAAUUCGAUGAUACGCGAGGAACCUUACCCGGGCUUGAAUUGCUGGUGAACGAUACAGAGAUGUAGAGGUCCUUCGGGACACCAGUGAAGGUGCUGCAUGGUUGUCGUCAGCUCGUGCCGUGAGGUGUCGGCUUAAGUGCCAUAACGAGCGCAACCCCUUUCCUCAGUUGCCAUCAGUUCGAGCUGGGCACUCUGGGGACACUGCCACCGCAAGGUGUGAGGAAGGUGGGGAUGACGUCAAAUCAGCACGGCCCUUACGUCCGGGGCUACACACGUGUUACAAUGGGGGGUACAGAGAGCCGGUGGCGCGCAAGCUCCAUCCAAUCCUUAAAGCCCUCCUCAGUUCGGACUGGGGUCUGCAACCCGACCCCACGAAGCUGGAUUCGCUAGUAAUCGCGCAUCAGCCAUGGCGCGGUGAAUACGUUCCCGGGCCUU